AUUGAACGCUGGCGGCAGGCCUAACACAUGCAAGUCGAACGAGUGGCGGACGGGUGAGUAAUUUCUGGGAAACUGCCUGAUUGAGGGGGAUAACUACUGGAAACGGUAGCUAAUACCGCAUACCAUCAGAUGUGCCCAGAUGGGAUUAGCUAGUUGUUGGGGUAACGGCUCACCAAGGCGAAGAUCCCUAGCUGGUCUGAGAUGAUGAACAGCCACACGGGAACUGAGACACGGUCCAGACGCCUACGGGAGUCAGCAUUGGGGAAUAGUGCACAAUGGGCGAAAGCCGGAGGCAGACAUGCCGCGUGUAUGAAGAAGGCCUUAGGGUUGUAAAGUACUUUCAGCGGGGAGGCGUUACCCGCAGAAGAAGCACCGGCUAACUCCGUGCCAGCAGCCGCGGUAAUAC
rnacentral:rRNA from 1 species